rnacentral:rRNA from 1 species
AUUGAACGCUGGCGGCAUGCCUUACACAUGCAAGUCGAACGGCAGCACGGGUGCUUGCACCUGGUGGCGAGUGGCGAACGGGUGAGUAAUACAUCGGAACAUGUCCUGUAGUGGGGGAUAGCCCGGCGAAAGCCGGAUUAAUACCGCAUACGAUCUACGGAUGAAAGCGGGGGACCUUCGGGCCUCGCGCUGUCGGGUUGGCCGAUGGCUGAUUAGCUAGUUGGUGUGGUAAAGGCCUACCAAGGCGACGAUCAGUAGCUGGUCUGAGAGGACGACCAGCCACACUGGGACUGAGACACGGCCCAGACUCCUACGGGAGGCAGCAGUGGGGAAUUUUGGACAAUGGGCGAAAGCCUGAUCCAGCAAUGCCGCGUGUGUGAAGAAGGCCUUCGGGUUGUAAAGCACUUUUGUCCGGAAAGAAAUCCUUGGCCCUAAUACGGUCGGGGGAUGACGGUACCGGAAGAAUAAGCACCGGCUAACUACGUG